rnacentral:rRNA from 1 species
UACGUAGGGGGCAAGCGUUGUCCGGAAUCAUUGGGCGUAAAGAGCGUGUAGGCGGCUCGGUAAGUCCGCUGUGAAAGUCCAGGGCUCAACCCUGGAAUGCCGGUGGAAACUGUCAAGCUCGAGUCCGGAAGAGGCGAGUGGAAUUCCUGGUGUAGCGGUGAAAUGCGCAGAUAUCAGGAGGAACACCGGUGGCGAAGGCGGGUCUCUGGGCAACAACUGACGCUGGAGGAGCGAAAGCGUGGGGAGCGAACAGG